CUGCCGAUAACUCGGGGAUAGCCUUUCGAAAGAAAGAUUAAUACCCGAUAGUAUAAUGAAACCGCAUGGUCUUAUUAUUAAAGAAUUUCGGUUAUCGAUGGGGAUGCGUUCCAUUAGGCAGUUGGUGAGGUAACGGCUCACCAAACCUUCGAUGGAUAGGGGUUCUGAGAGGAAGGUCCCCCACAUUGGAACUGAGACACGGUCCAAACUCCUACGGAAGGCAGCAGUGAGGAAUAUUGGUCAAUGGGCGCAGGCCUGAACCAGCCAAGUAGCGUGAAGGAUGACUGCCCUAUGGGUUGUAAACUUCUUUUAUAUGGGAAUAAAGUUUUCCACGUGUGGAAUUUUGUAUGUACCAUAUGAAUAAGGAUCGGCUAACUCCGUGCCAGCAGCCGCGGUAAUACGGAGGAUCCGAGCGUUAUCCGGAUUUAUUGGGUUUAAAGGGAGCGUAGGUGGACAGUUAAGUCAGUUGUGAAAGUUUGCGGCUCAACCGUAAAAUUGCAGUUGAUACUGGCUGUCUUGAGUACAGUAGAGGUGGGCGGAAUUCGUGGUGUAGCGGUGAAAUGCUUAGAUAU
rnacentral:rRNA from 1 species